rnacentral:rRNA from 1 species
UACGUAGGGCGCAAGCGUUGUCCGGAAUUAUUGGGCGUAAAGAGCUCGUAGGUGGCUUGUCGCGUCUGCCGUGAAAGCCCGUGGCUUAACUACGGGUCUGCGGUGGAUACGGGCAGGCUAGAGGCUGGUAGGGGCAAGCGGAAUUCCUGGUGUAGCGGUGAAAUGCGUAGAUAUCGGGAGGAACACCAGUGGCGAAGGCGACUACCUGGCCUGUUUCUUGACGCUGAGGCGCGAAAGCUAGGGGAGCAAACGGG